rnacentral:rRNA from 1 species
GAGUAACACGUGGGUAACCUACCUAUAAGACUGGGACAACUUCGGGAAACCGGAGCUAAUACCGGAUAAGAUAUCGAACCGCAUGGUUCGAUAGUGAAAGAUGGUUUUGCUAUCACUUAUAGAUGGACCCGCGCCGUAUUAGCUAGUUGGUGAGGUAACGGCUCACCAAGGCAACGAUACGUAGCCGACCUGAGAGGGUGAUCGGCCACACUGGAACUGAGACACGGUCCAGACUCCUACGGGAGGCAGCAGCG